rnacentral:rRNA from 1 species
UAAGACAGAGGUGGCAAGCGUUGUUCGGAUUUACUGGGCUUAAAGGGCGUGUAGGCGUCCUGACAAGUCAGAUGUGAAAGCCUUAGGCUCAACCUAAGAAUUGCACUUGAAACUGUCAGGAUUGAGUCGGGUAAGGGAGGGCGGAAUUCCUGGUGUAGCGGUGAAAUGCGUAGAUAUCAGGAGGAAGGCCGGUGGUGAAGACGGCCCUCUAGGCCAUGACUGACGCUGAGGCGCGAAAGCGUGGGUAGCAAACAGGAUUAGAUACCCUGGUAGUCCACGCCCUAAACGGUGGGUACUAGGUGUGGGUGGCGAUAGUCAUCCGUGCCGUAGGGAAACCAUUAAGUACCCCGCCUGGGGAGUACGGCCGCAAGGUUG